rnacentral:rRNA from 1 species
CACCGCGGUUAUACGAGAGACCCAAGUUGACUCUUAUCGGCGUAAAGUGUGGUUAGGAUUCCUACUCUCACUAAAGUCGAACACCUCCCGAACUGUUAUACGCACCCGGAGGCAUGAAGCCCACCUACGAAAGUGACUUUAAACCCCUGAACCCACGACAGCCAUGACA